rnacentral:rRNA from 1 species
GGGAGGCAGCAGUCGAGCGUAUUCUACAAUGGACGGAAGUCUGAUAGUGCGACGCCGCGUGAACGAAGAAUCCCUUCGGGGUGUAAAGUUCUUUUAUACGUGAGCAGUGCCCUUUAUAUGAAUAGUAUAGAGGGAGGGAUUUAAGCGUAUGAAUAAGCAACGGCUAACUCCGUGCCAGCAGCCGCGGUAACACGGGGGUUGCAAGCGUUGUCCGGAAUUACUAGGCGUAAAGUGCAGGUAGGCGGAUAGAUAAGUUUAAGGUUAAAGGCUACGGCUUACCCGUAGUAAGGCGUUAGAUACUGUUUAUCUGGAAUGCGGUUGAGGGAGACAGAAUUCCUGGUGUAGCGGUGGAAUGCGCAGAGAUCAGGAGGAAUACCGAAGGCGAAGGCAGUCUUCUAAGCCGAUAUUGACGCUAAACUGCGAAGGUGUGGGGAUCAAACAGGAUUAGAUACCC